ACAUUUCCCCUUGAAUCCAAGGUCUGCAAUUAUUAAAUGAAGGGCACACAAACAGUCUGAAGCCGCCCUCCACCUCCACUUGGAUGUACUGGCCUACAUAGAGCAUACAUACAUUCUCAAAGAUAUACAUAUGAAUUCGGAAUAGCAUUCACAUCUUCAUUCUUCAGCUAAGUCAUCUGUAACAGAAUCCAUUAUGUAGUUUGGUUCAAGAUAGUUGACUCAUCAAGAAAGUUGCAAGUAAUUUAAAUUGAGUGUGUACCUUGUGGAGUUUGCUGAUCAACAUUGAAGGUGCAUUGUUCUGCUUCUUGAGGAUAGCUUGCCGCAACAACAUAAUGGAUGGAUGGAAUUAGAUAGUAAUGCA
rnacentral:lncRNA from 1 species